rnacentral:rRNA from 1 species
UCCCUGGCGGCCAUAGCGGCGUGGUACCACCUGAUCCCUUCCCGAACUCAGAAGUGAAACGCGCAUGCGCCGAUGGUAGUGUGGCUCAAGCCAUGCAAGAGUAGGUCACCGCCAGGGGCUUUA